AUUUUUCUCAUAACUGUUUGAUAUAUUUGUGGACUUUGUAAAGUGAGUUAACCUUAAGUUAAAAUCUUAACUUCCUUUUCCUAUUCAUCUUCAGAUUAUGGAUUGGAUAUGUCUACUUCUGGAUGCAAAUUUUACUGUUGUAGUAAUGAUGCCAGAAGCAAAGAGGCUACUGAUAAAUCUUUACAAGCUUGUAAAAUCUCAGAUAACUGUUUAUUCCGAGCUCAACAAGAUUGAAGUAAGUUUUCGGGAGCUACAGAAAUUAAAUCAAGAAAAGAAUAAUAGAGGAUUAUAUUCAAUUGAAGUGCUGGAGCUCUUCUGAUAUUAUCAAUUCUCCUUCAUAGACAUUUUAUAAAGCUCUUUUAUGUGAACUCUUGCUUCAUCCAGGCAAGAACGGUGUUUUGUUUGCGACCAUCUCGGUGUCAAGAGAAACGUGUCAGUGAGUACCUGGACCAUCACUUAACUGAUGCUCCGGGGUAGGGCUGCAGGUUUCACGUGAACCUAUUCUAGGUUGUGGACAUUGGUGCGGAGAGGUUCUGCAAUUUUUUAAAAAUACGUAACUGGGUUGAUUUUAAGUAAAAUUAUUUGUGUAUUGAUAAAAGUCUAAUUUCUUA
rnacentral:sRNA from 1 species